UACGGAAGGUGCAAGCGUUGUUCGGAAUGACUGGGCGUAAAGCGCACGUAGGUGGCUUCGUAAGUCGGAUGUGAAAGCCCUGGGCUCAACCCGGGAACUGCAUCCGAAACUACCUAGCUUGAAUGCUUAAGAGGUUGGUGGAAUUCCAGGUGUAGGAGUGAAAUCCGUAGAUAUCUGGAGGAACAUCGGAGGCGAAGGCGGCCAACUGGUGAUGCAUUGACACUAAGGUGCGAAAGCGUGGGGAGCAAACAGGAUUAGAUACCC
rnacentral:rRNA from 1 species